UGACUGGCUCAUUUCACUUAGCAUAAUAGUCUCCAGGUCCAUCCAUGCUGUCUCAAAAAGAAUCAUUCCAGAACCUCCUUCUAGAAACAGAAUUGCCUGUUGGCCAUCAUUCUCUGGCUCUGAUCAGCAGCUGAGACACAACAGAUCCAGAGCUGAAUGCAUGUCUCCUGUGUCACAGCCCUCUUCCAGCACCCCAGGGCCUUAAGAACCUUCUCACAUCUUUCAAGAUGCAACUAAAGCACCACUGAAUCUUUCAGAAUCCUUUUGUGAAAUUCCACCCAAUAGACAGUGAAUGCCUGUACUUGGACACUUCCUUUACCUUCCAGGUUUCUAUUGUGGCACCUGUGACGUGCCAUUGGGUUGGUGUAUGUGGCUGUCCCACAACUAGACUGGAAGCUACUUGAACACAGGGACCAUGUCUUGAAUGUCUUUGUUAUCCCAGUGUCUAUCAAUGCCUGACACAUAGUAGGUGCUCAAUAAAUGUUCAAUGGAAAAACAUACAUGAUACAAGAAUUCUAAAUCCACUCAAGCCUCAUUAAGAUCCCUACUCCUUGCAGUCCUUGCCCAAGUCCAGCUCUUUCUGUCGGAGAAGAGGAAGGCAUUUUAGAGAGCUGCCCAGACAUAGGAGGUAAAAGGCAGCAGCCAGAACAGAGCCCUGUGGAUGCCAGAGGCCACAGCAGGCUGCCUAGACAUGCUCUCGGGUCCACUGUGCAUCAUCAGCUAACUCCCCCAGGCAAGGCUCCUGGACUGUGGAUGCUCCAUCUCUUUCUACCACAUCUUAAGCCCAGGAGCCCUCCCUGGUUGGGUGCUAGUCAUUAAGCUUUGCAACUCAGAGAGAAUGGUACUAUGGCUGGUGGGACUGUCUACUCGGUGUUUCAGUGGGCAUAGGAGCCACAGGAGAAAGAAGAGCCCUUCAGCCCAGCACCUCUUCCCUGACCUGUCAUUUCUUAGGCAACUGGAAUAUAGUGGACACAGGAGGACCCUAAGUGAACUCUCUUAGUUCAAGGAAAAGAAAAAAACACCCCAACCAUUCCUCUUGUUCACAUCAGAGUGGUCUUUUGAACUUGAAUCUGACUACAUCACUCACCUGCUCCAAAGUCUUGAAUGACUUCCUCUGGGAAAAAUCGGAUGAACUUUGAAAGGCAUAGGUCUAAGUAUAUCUUCGUGAUCCACCUUUGUUAAACAACAGUGAACAACUUGCUUCAAACACAGCACACUGGCACACACCUCUACUCUGGCACAUACUUCUGCCCCCAGCUGCCUGGGUCUUCCUUCUGCCCUUUCUUUUGCAGAAGCCCAGCAUCCUUCAGUCUCAGCUUCAAGGUUCUCUCCCCCUUCUCUUUACGGGGAAUUGUAGAAGCUCCUUCCCACUGCCCACUGUACUUUAUGUUUCUCCCAUUGCAGUGAGACCACUGUCACUGUCUCACAACCUUCCAGUGUUGGUUCUCAAUUUCCUUACCUGUAAAAUGUGAAUAAUAAUCUCCUAGUGUUGGUGGAAGGAUUGAUCCUGAGAAGUGGCAGCAGAGGUCUGGGGAAGUGAGCCAGGGGAAGAAAGGAGGACAAUCCAGGUUCAUUCUUCGGACCACUGGAGUCCUGAGUGAGCAGAGCCUCUGGGAGAAACAGUGUGGAACACCUCCAGAACAGUCCCACCCGAGAGAGGAGGAAGUUCCUGGCAACAGGCUCUGCACCCUCCAGCACUCUGCACAAGCAGUGCUGAUUCUUCAGGAUCAACAGGCCAGCACAGAAACCUAAACAGAUACUGUUGUCAUUCCACCACAUGCCAGUCAUUUAAGACCACAAGAAGUGCUCUCCACUCCUGCCCACACGCUCCGAAAUUCCCAGCAUCUCCGCGGACACUUCCCAGAGUUGCGUCCCUGCCCAACUCCCAUGGCCCAGGUGACCGGACCACGCUUACCUUCGGGAGAAAUGCCAUCCUCGGUCAGUAGUGCUGGCCUUGGUGUCGGAUUGUCAUCCUGGAUCCUGGAUGAAUUCAGAACCAGAACGCAAAAGGGAGAGAAAAGGACAAUCUAGCAAGCGAAAGAGCCCGCGUGCUUCCCUCACGCCCUUAGGUCUAAGGGGAGAUGAGGGGACCGAAGGGCGCGGGGUGGGGGUAGCAGCGCUUGCGGCGCCCCUUUAUUCUUGCAGCGCUUCACGCCCCUGGGAAAAGUAGCUGGAAUCAGUGCCAGCCAAUCAGCGAGCAAUGUUGCAGUCUCAUUAGCAUGCGCUGCCCUUGUGCCCACCUGCCGCCAGGGGGCUGUGUGUGGCUCUGCCGGUACCCAGCGGAGCCUCAGGUGAGACCUGCGAGUGGGAGGAUCUGUCCCAGAGGUCCAGCUUUGGCUCACACCACUAAAGCCUGGAGAAGUGAAAACAGUCUACCACGGGCUUUGGAUCCUGGCUGGCCUGCCACCAAGUCACUGGAUGGCGGUCAGCAAAUUAUUUAAACAUUACAAGCAGGAGAGAUGUCUUUCAAAGUUUAGUAUCAAGGAAGACUCAGUUCUCCCUGUAACCGCCCACACUGUGUCCGUUUCCCCGAUCAAGAGAGAUGUGCAUUUCUUGUUUCCCUUUUCAUCUUGACCAGCAGAACUCUUCAAAUAUACGGCAACAGGCUCCCUUGGAACAACUGAAAUGAACAUUUGAUUUCUAAUUUUAUUCUCUAAUCUGUUUUCCUAUUCGAGUUUGCAUAUCAUGGGUUUUAUUGUCUGAGCUUCUUUCUUUUCAUAAGCCACAACAACUCA